GCUCACCUAAUUUAGUGUUCCAAAGCUUUUCAAGAGGCUAUUGGAGAUGCUCUAACAAUACAACUACGCAUUUUAAUUAAUUAAGAGGGUUUUUAGGUUUAAUAGUCCUUGAACUUUGACCCGAUUCACAUUUUGGUUACUCAAUUUCCAAAAUCAUUUAUGUGGUCCUUCAACUUUAGUUUUGUUGGAACAAAUGGUCCUGCCGUCAAUUUUGGUAACUUUUUAUGUUAUAUUUGAGCAUGUGCAUCGCACAUUGUGUACUAUUGAGGGUCAAAAUAAAAAAUUGCUUCACUUCUUGGGUACAUGGGUAAUUCCUGGCAUAUUUUAACCCCACAUCCACUUCCCCACCGUUGCAACUUAACUCUCCCCAUCCACAUAUCUCCGUCCCUCCCCAAGCCAAACCCAUUAAAACCCAUCACCAAUCGAGGAAUGAUAUAUCUCCCUUCCUCCAAUCCAACAAAACCAUGUACAACCUCCACCAAACACUGGGCCAAUUAACCCACCCCACCAACAAUUGAUGGCGAUCCCACAACCAACAACCUACAACCCCAUCCAAACCGUACCCACCCUCCUUGUGAUGGCUUAUGCCCCUCACUUUAUAUCAUAUAUUCAAUUUUGUUGAAGAUAUAUAUUUUUUUUGAAAGAAAAAGAUAAUAUUUCGUCUUGGGGAAAGAGGGGUUAGGACUGGGUGGGAUAGUGAGGGUGAGACCAUUUUUCCUAACGAAACUGAAGUUGAAGGACUACGUGAACAAUUUUGGAAAUUGAGGGACCAAAAUGCGAAUCGGGUCAAAAUUUAGGGACCAUUAGACCUAAAAACCCUAACCAAGAUUAUGUUCAUGCUCAAUUUUUGUGUGUGGUUAAAUCGGCCUUAAAAUCUAGGCCCUUAGAUGGAGAGGACUGGUGGGAAAUGUGAACCAAUCGUUAAAUCGUCAAAUCGUCAAAUUUCAUAUUGUUUAUUUAUUUGGAGGGAAGAAUUUAGACAAGUGGUAUCAUUAUCAGAUUAAAAAUCCCUAUCAAGACAAAAUAAAAGGAUAACAGAUCAGAAAUGGACAUGUUUGGUAGGUUGGAUUAGCCUUGACAGUGUUAAAUAACACUUUAAAACCCACAUUUGGUAAAAGAGGGACUAAGAUUAAUGGGAUUAUAUAGUCCAUAAGUCAAAAAAACACCGGACUCGCUCGUCCAAUUUAGUGAGGAUGAAAUGCAGUUCGCAAAAUAGCGAGCGUGCUAUUUUGAAAGUACGAGUCCGACCCACACAGCGACCUCCACGAGCUACUCUUGGUUGAUGAGUAUCUCCUCAUUCAUGUCGGGCAAUAUGGCAGUGACUAGCUCUUCGAACUCGAUGGUUUCAUUUCCGUUAGCGACGAGGACGUGGAGCUAGUUGCCGGUGGGCUUGAAGCCUAGCGACCGGAGCAGGGCGGCGAGCUCGAGCUAGGUGAGGCUGCCGUUGGAGUCCAUGUUGAAUCCGUAUUCAACCUUUUAGUUAUAAUUCUAAAAACAUCUUUUUGAUGUUUUCAUUUUAAGAGAAUGGAUUCAACAAAUAGAGCACCGCCAUCCAGUCAAACCCAGAGCUCCACCACCUGUACCAAAUCGAAAAUCAAAUGCCACCAUCAACAAUAUACAUACCAAAUUGAACCACCACCAUCAAACCCAACCAAUCUGCCUAUCAAACCCAACAAUAUACAUACAAAUUGCAGAGAGAUGAGAUGGGUUUUGGAGAGAGAGAACGAGAGAGGUGGGGGAGAGAGGGACAUUUUGCAGAGAGAAUUAAGGUUUGGAGGAAGGAGGAGUGGGUGCUGCGGCAUGAAGAGAGUGAAAAAGAGGGAAGUAAGAAGAAAAGAGACAUGAGAGAAGAGGAAGAAAGAAACGGGCCUAAGAUCGGGAAGGAAGGGAAGAAGAAAAGAGGAAGAAGAAAAGAGGAAGAAAGAAAGAACAUGACAAAAAGAAAAAAGAAAGGAGAUUAAAAAAAAAUCUGAAUUUUUUAUUCUUUAAAUUAUACUUUUUUUUAAUUUAUAAAUUGUUUAUAAAAAUUUUAGCCUUUAAAAAGUAUCAUAAUUUAAAUAUUUUUUAAGUCAAAAUCCCAAAUUAAAUUUAAAUAUUACAAGAAUUAUUUUGGGAGCUUUAGUAAUAUACCCAAAAUAGGACAUGAAAUUAUAAAAAAAUCCUAUAUGGAAUAGACUUUAAAAACACACCAAAAAAUCAUUUACUAUCUAAAAAAUGAGUGUUAAAGUUCCUAUAAAUUACAUCUCUGCCAUUUAUUAACUUAAAACAUGCCUAAUACAAAAAACUCAAAAAAAACCCAAAAUAAGCCCAGCAAGCCGAAGUACAUUGUUAAUACCAUGUCAUAGAAGUGUAUUGUUAAUACCAUAUCAUAGAAAUACAUUGUUAAUAUCAUGUCAUAGAAGUACAAUGUUAAUAUCAUUUCAUAGAAAAACAUUGUUAAUACCAUUUCAUACAAAAAACUCAAAAAAACCCAAAAAAGCCCAGCAAGAUAUCUGAUAUCCUUUGCAAAAAUCACCUCCAAUUGUCCAUAGUUUUACCAGAAGCAAUCGCAAAGGCCCUCUACAAGAAGAAUAAAAAAAGUACACUGUUAAUACUGUGUCAUAGAACUACCUUCGUAGUUAAAAUCACAUUUUGCAUAUCAUAAACUUCCAGUGCACAGCUAUAUAAGCAAAAUAUAGAGCAUGCUUUGUUACUGAAAAAUCUGUUAAUACUAUAUCAUGGAAGUGCACUGUUGAUACUAUGUCAUAGAAAUCAACUCAAUUGCAGGGUAUGAACAGUUUAACAACUGUUCAUACCACUUACUAAAAGCUAACAACUAUAUUUUAUUUGCAUAUAUAAUAGGUACGAUAAAAAUGUACAACUGCAAAAACCCCAUGUUCAUACACCAGCAACCUUGAAAAACAUAACGAAAAACACAACCUUUUGGAACAAACCUAGGAACCCAGAGCAAAAAAAAAAAAAAAGUACACUGUUAAUACUAUGUCAUAGAACUAUCUUCCUAGUGAAAAUCACAUUCUGCAUAUCAUAAACUUCAAGUGCACAGCUAUAUAUAGAGCAAAAUAUAGAGCAUGCUUUGUUACUGAAAAUCUGUUAAUACUAUGUCAUAGAAGUACACUGUUAAUACCAUAUCAUAGAAAUCAACUCAGUUGCAAGGUAUGAACAGUUGUUAUACUAUUCAUACCAGUCACUGAAAGUUAACAACUACAUCAUUUCAUUCGCAUAAUCGGUACAAUAAAAGUGUACAACUCCAUACCACUCAAAAUCAAUUACAUCAUUUUAUUUGCAUAAAUAAUUGAUCCUUUAUCACUCCACAUACCAUAAACAUUGAAGAAUCUGAAAUAUGACACUUAGAAUAAGAUAAUAUGCUAUCUAACAGCAAAUUCUUAUAUACAUUUGUGUAUGAUAAGUCUGGUAAACUCACAACAGGCAGGAUUAGGGGACCCGACGUGGCUAGAUAAGUUGUCACCCUCAUCUAUCAUGCUCAUGGCACAAGAAGUCUCUGUUGUACCGUAUCCUUCAAUUACUUAGUCAAAGCCCUUGCGAUUUUCGUUACAUGCAGCAAAAAUUUCAUUGGUCUUAACACUUGAGAAAUUUUUAUUUUUAUUUUUAUUAAAUUGCAUUCUAUAAGAUAGCCAACUUACACUCUAAGGAAGUCCAUGACAUUAGGGGACAAGGGUGAAGCACCGGAUCCCAUAUUGAACACCAAUCUGUCCCAUAUUGGUGAUCCAUUUGAACUUGAAAUAAUUGUUUAACAUAGAAAAAUUUAACAACAGCAUGACUUCAGUAAUAGCCUAUGAGAAGGUGAAGUUAUUAGUGUAUAUUACCACUCAUUAGACCAUUCAAAUCAAAUCAAAUCAAAUCAGACCAUUCUUCAUGUUCAGCCUAGGCUAGUUCACUUUGAAGAGCCACCAAAUCUUUUUCAAGUUCAUCAAUUUCAAUAUCUGCCUUUGUUAUUAAUAUCUUCAACACUAAUAUGCAACAUUUCUCAUUUAUUGCAUCUUCUUCUAUCAGAUCUAUAACCAUAAGAAAAGACCAGUGUGGCUAUUAAAGCACAAACAGGGAAAACAAGGAAUGACACCAAUGAAAUAGAAAGAAACAUAUUAUACCACGACCACAACCAAAGUAGAAGUUGUACUCCCAUCCAGAUUCUGUGCCAUAAGUGCUCCCAGGUGCAACUGAUAAGCAAGCAUUCAGUUCAGCUAACAUUAGUACAAACUCUACAGCCACAUGUACCUAAGAUAAGAUCUACAACAACGUAUUUCUUCGAUAUGAAAACUAGCCAGCAUGGUGCUGUGAGAAAUAUAUGAAGAAUAGGGUUUGUAUUGAGUAGUCAAACCGUAUACGGAGGCAUGUAUUUUAUACAAGUAAAUGAAAGCUAUUCUAGGAAAACAGAGAAGCUAUUCUAGGUAAACAGAACCUAUUUAUGUUGAUUACAAUUCUAUCCUACAACUGCUCCUAAUUAGAUCAUAAUCAGAUCAUUGACUAUUUUGUUUCCUUUUACACUCCCCCUCAAGUUGGAGUAUGGAUGUUAAUUAUACCCAACUUGCUGAGAUGCGUAUGAAAGAUGGGUGCCCUUAGCGGUUUUGUAAAGUUGUCAGCUAUCUGAUUUCCUGUUGGCACAUAAGCUGUCUUGAUUUCACCCUUUUGGAUCUUUUCACGAACUGUGUGACAAUCUAGCUCGAUAUGCUUAGUCCUCUCAUGGUACACCGGAUUUGCAGCAAUAUGUAAGGCUGCUUGAUUAUCGCAAAACAAUCUUGCUACCCGUAAAUCUCUCAACAAAUAUCUUAACCAAGUAAGUUCACAAGUGGCUGCAGCCAUCGAACGGUAUUUUGCUUCGGCUGAUGAUCUAGACACUGUGACUUGCUUCUUACUCUUCCAGGACAUGAGUGAGUUUCCAAGGAAAAUGCAAUAUCCUGUCACUGAUCGUCGUGUCAUAGGACACGUGGCCCAAUCCGCAUCACAAUAACCAACCAAACUUAGCUGACUUGUUGUAGAAAACAGUAAGCCUUGCCCAGGUGCGUUCUUCAGGUAUUGAAGAAGAUGACGUGCUGCCUUGAGGUGGUGUAGCUUGGGUUCUUGCAUGAACUGACUCAAAGUAUUCACUGCAUAUGUAAUCUCUGGCCUGGUGAUGGUGAGGUAGAUUAAUUUUCCAAUUAAUCGUCGAUAUUGAGCUGGUUCCUUGAGGGCAUCACUACCUGUUGUCGUUAGUACCAACUCAGGUUCCAUGGGGACUUUAGUGGGCUUCACUCCAAGCAAACCAGCUUCCUCCAAUAUGUCUAGAGUGUACUUUCGUUGACAAAUUGAAAUCCCGUCUUUAGAGCGUGCAACUUUCACACCAAGAAAAUAUUUUAAUAGUCCAAGAUCUUUAAUCCGAAAACAUCCGUUGAGAAACUGCUUGAGAUUCUGAAUUUCCUGCUCAUCAUGUCCUGUAAUGAUCAUGUCAUCAACAUACAGUAAUAUCACAUUAAUAGAGUUUCCACGAACCAAAGUGAACAACGAGUAAUCGGCUCGAGAUUGUUGGAAACCAAUGUCUUGAAUGGCAGAAGAGAACCGACGAAACCAAGUGCGUGAGGCUUGUUUAAGACCGUAUAAUGAUUUGUGGAGUCGACAAACCAUCUGCUCCCCCGGUCGACAAUAACCAGGAGGUGGUAACAUGUAAACCUCCUCAAGCAAAUCCCCAUGUAAAAAUGCAUUUUGUACAUCCAUUUGAUGUAAAGGCCAAUCGCGAAUAGCAGCAAUGGAUAACAAGCAACGAAUGGUGAUCAAUUUGGCCACGGGAGCAAAAGUCUCCUUGUAAUUGAUGCCCUCGCGUUGUGUAAACCCCUUUGCGACGAGUCGAGCUUUGUAGCGCUCGAUGGUGCCAUCCGAGUGAUACUUGAUUUUGUAGACCCACUUGCACCCAAUGGGGCGAUGACCCAAGGGCAGAGGGACAAGGGACCAAGUACGGUUGUCCUCAAGGGCCUUGAUCUCAGAACUCAUGGCAGCAAGCCAUUUGGGAUCUUGACUUGCCUGUGCAUAAUUUGCUGGUUCAACCAAGUGAGAAAUGUUGGAAACAAAAGUACGGUGUGCAUGAGAUAACUGAGUGUAAGAGACAUACCGAUGAAGGGGAUACCGGGUGCUGGACGUAGAAGAAGAGGGAAGACCAGGCUAGAGCAGAGCAGCAUGAUGGGCCUGGUAGUGUUGAAAAUGAGCCGGUGGAUGGGAGGGUCUGUUGGAACGACGAAGGGGAAGAGGAGGGCCGGUUGCAAUGGUGUCCGGAUCGGGUGAAGGGAUGUCUGGGAGAGCUGGGAUAUGUGGUGGAUCGGUUGGGUCUUGUGAAGGUGACACAGGGAGAUCGAGAGGAAGGUCUGGAGUGGUGAUGGAAGAUCUGGACGGUGAGGACAGGAGCUCUGGAGGUGUAACAGCUAAAGGGGGGUCGGUGUGUGGGCUGGAAUGAGUUGGGGAUGUUUCAAAAAAAUUGGGCCCAGCUAUGUGUGGGUCAGUAAGUGGGAUAGGUAAAACUGGGAGGUCUUGUUGGUCUUCACAGGGUAAGUGAGCAAAAGGAAACAUGUGUUCAUGAAAUAGAACAUCACGUGAAGUAACAAUUUUGUGGUUAUCAAGAUCAUAGACAAGGUAACCCUUCUGACCAAGGGGAUAUCCUAAAAAUAAACAACGUCGCGCACGAGUAUCAAAUUUGUGAAUGGGAGUGAGAUUCGUAGCAUAGCAUAAACACCCAAAAACCCGGAGGUGAGAAUAGGUAGGUGGAACCCCGUGCAACAGUUCAUAAGGGGAUUUAUGGGCAAGUAAGGGUGUAGGGAGUCGAUUGAUGAGAUAAGAAGCAGUUUGAAGACUUUCUCCCCAAAAUUUCAAAGGAACAUUAGCUUGAAAACGUAAGGCUCGAGCAACAUUCAAAAGAUGGCGGUGUUUGCGUUCAACAACCCCGUUUUGUUGCGGUGUGUGAGCACAAGUGUGGUGAAAAAUGGUACCACGACUAUCCAAAAAAGAACGCAUGGAGAUGAAUUCACCACCGUUAUCAGCACGGAGAACUUUGAUAUCAUGAUUAAAUUGCGUUUUGACCCAAGCAAAAAAUGAUUUUAACAAGAUUUGUGUGUCAGACUUAAAAUGCAUAAGAUGAAUCCAUGUGAAGCGAGUAAAAUCAUCCACAAUAGUUAAAAAAUAUCGUGCCCCAGAAUGUGUAGGAAUUUUGUGUGGGCCCCAUAUAUCACAAUGUAUUAGAUCAAAAGGUGCGGUAGAUUUUAUUGAACUAUGAGUAAAAGGCAAGCGUGUUUGCUUUGCAAGAGGACAGACAUCACAAACAUGCGUAGAAUCAAACAUAAUAUGGGGAAUGGCUUUGGAUAAAAAAUAGAGAGGAGCAGAGGAAGGGUGCCCAAGGCGUUGGUGCCAGAGAUCCGAGGUACGGUGAAUAUGAUGAGCUAGGUGGGGAUUUUGUUGUGGCGUAAGGUAGUAGAGCCCAUCAAAAUGCUUGCCCAGGCCAAUCAUCCUCUUCGUUUCCACGUCCUGCACAACACAAAAAUCCGGAUAAAAUGUCACCAUACAAUUCAAUGCUCGAGUUAAUUUACUCACAGACAAUAAGUUCACACGAAAUUUGGACACAUGUAGAACUCCAUCAAGAGACAAAUAAGGUGUCAGGCGCACAGAUCCUAUACUUUCAAUGGCAACGUGCUCACCAUUAGGCAAACCAACAAAAUCAUGCUGAGUCCCAAUAUGAGUAUAAUGCGUGGGUGUUAAACGAGAUAUGUGAUCUGUUGCUCCACUAUCCACAAUCCAAUGUAAGGUAGAAUGCGAAUCAUGAUGUGCAGUAUUGCAAGUGGGGGAAAAUGUACCUGUCGCAUGCAAAUGAUUGGGCAUUACCGUUCUUAUUGUGAAGCAUAGCAAGGAGUUGAUUGUAUUGCUCGGUUGUGAAGGUGGGGCCUCCAGUAGCAGAAGCUGUUGGACCCUUGGUAGGAGGUGUUUCCAAUUCUACAUUGUGAGCAGCAGCCCUCUUGUCAUUGUGAGCAGGUGGCUUCUUAUUCCUGGGUUGCACAUUCUUCCCAUGCCAUUUGUGACCAAUUGGAAAUCCAAUGAUGUAAUAGCAAUGAUCAACUGAAUGACCCUCUUGGUCACAGUGAGAGCAUUUGGAGGGUUUGUAGGGGCGGAAAAAGCCUGUGGUCGCAGGAGCACGCGAAGUCUGCAUAGCGUGAGAAUAAGAUGGAUUUUCUCGGCGACUUGCCACUUCCAUCUGUCUCUCAUGUUGGAGAAUUAACCCAUGGACUCUUCGUGUAUCAGGAAUAGGAUUCAUCAUCAAAAUGGAGCCACGAACAGUGGAGUAAGAAUCAUUUAAUCCCAUUAGAAAUUGCAUGACCUUCUCCUUUUCCUCACGAUCUGCAAGCUUUUUCAGGCCCUCACAGUCACAAAUGAGGGGUUCAUGAUAAAUAGACAGUUCAUCCCAAAGUGCUUUGAGUUUGGUAUAGUAUAUGGAGACUGAUUGUUGUCCUUGACGACAUUCGACAAUUUCUUGUCGAAUUUGGUGGAUCCUGGAGUCAUUCCUCUGGGAAAAUCUGUCUUUGAGAUCGUUCCAAACGGCGGCUGUUGUGUCAGAAUAGAGGACGCUGUUGGCAAUGUCGGGAUGAAUCGAGUGUAGGAGCCAUGACAAUACCAUGUCGUUGCAACGCUGCCACAUAGGAAAUUUGGCAUCAGUUGAUGGUGGUGCUUUGACAGACCCAUCGAUUAGUCCAAGUUUAUUCUUGGCACUGAGACUGAGACGCACCGAGCGACUCCAUUGUCCAUAGUUAUUUCCUUUGAGUGGUGCGUUGGCAAGGGUGAGCCCUGGUGUGUCGGAAUGGUGCAAAACGAGAGGAUCAGAUAUGGUUGACGAAUUGGUGAGGGUCGUUAAGUCUGUGGCUUGUUGAAUUGGGAGGAUUGUUGAAUCUGUGCGUUGUGGUUCACCCAUGGUGGUGUGCUUAGUAGUUUUGUGGGUGUCUGUAGCGGAAGGUAGGUGGGUUUUCAGAGUCACCAGUCUUGGUGCUCUGAUACCAUGUGAGAAAUAUAUGAAGAAUAGGGUUUGUAUUGAGUAGUCAAACCGUAUACAGAGGCAUGUGUUUUAUACAAGUAAAUGAAAGCUAUUCUAGGAAAACAGAGAAGCUAUUCUAGGUAAACAGAACCUAUUUAUGUUGAUUACAAUUCUAUCCUACAAAUGCUCCUAAUUAGAUCAUAAUCAGAUCAUUGACUAUUUUGUUUCCUUUUACAGGUGCAAGAGAGGUUAAGGAAACCUUGAUGAUUUGGUGAAUCCCGUAGAUCCCAAGAGUCAUAUGGCGAACUCCAUAGAUCCCAAGCCAUGAAUUUCAAAGGUAUAUAUAUAUAUAUAAUAUCCUGAAAUGCAAAUAUGACGAAGUCAUGAUUCUAUGACCAAGACAUUAGAGCACAAAGAUAGUUAAGUUCAUUCAUUUGAUAUAGAAGUUUGAAGAAAAUGCUAUAACUUGAAAGAGGGCUUAACCUCAGGCUCAGAAUAUCAUGUCAACCAAGUCCAAUUAUCCAGCAACUUAGUUUAUAAAAAUGGAACCCAAAUCGUAAUCAGCAGUACACCACUAGAAGUUUAAUGAAUAAUGUAAGUCUCAGUGUUACGAUCGUCGAGGUUCUAGUCAUUCAUGCCUUCGAUUGCGUCCUUCAUGGCCUUCUCGUUGCUGAAGGUGACAAAGCUAAAGCCAAAGCCCAUGGACCUCCUGAUCUCACAGUCGUUGAUGAUCUGAAAACACAAAAAGAAACCAAAUCAAAUCAGAUCCGUCCAUCAAAACCAAAACGUCAGAGUAUAAUCAAACAAAUACAAAUAAUAAACAAAAAUGAAAAGGAAUCGAUCGAUCUUCAAUCUUUGGGAGAGAAAGAUCAAGUAACAUAGAGAAACAGAAGAUCAAGUAGCAGAGAGAGAACAUGCGUCAAAUGGCCCUUCGAUUCGAUGAUCUCGCCGAACGGAGAAAAGGCCCUCUCCAAUGCAUCAUUAGAAUGAUGAGGUUGAACAAAAACUGAAAAUUUGGGUUGAAGAUGAAGAUGAGAGACUGGAGGUCGUGAAAUGAAAUCUGAUAUGGUGUUGAUUAGAAUUCCAAUUUUAUGUUAAAAGGGUAAUAAAGGUAUUUCGUUUUAAUAAUUAAAAUAAAAAAUACACAGCUGUCUGUUUUUGGGUUUAUUUUGGGUGUGUUUAUAUACAUUAAGUAGUAUAGGGUCUUUUUAUAGUUUUAUGUCUAGGAAUGAGUAUUUAACUAAUUUUGUAAAUUAUUUUUUAGUCCGACACAGCACCAAACAUAGGUCUUCACUAUUUUUACAAUCCAACUUCUUAGUCCGACACAAUACCAAACGUAGGUCAGUAUUUAAUUCAGCUUAAGUCAAUCCGAGCAAAUCCAAGACAGUCCAAGGACUUAAUCCAGUCCAUGACAGUUCGCAAUACCAAACGACCCCCUAUCAGUACUAAAUAGUGAACGGACGGUGAGAAAAUCAUAAGAGAUUGUAUUCAUUCACGUACGAGUUGCUGCUGUGGAUUGCAGACUGACUCAGAUUAAUGAAAUGACAGAGGAUGCUGACUGCUGAUGAUUUUUGAGUGGAACAAAUUAAAUAUUCAGGCACAAAGACUUUGAGCCGUUAGAUUUAAAUCAACACAAUCCCGUGCACUGUUAUGAAAUUUAUACCAGUCAACUUGUUCCACAUUUUGUUUUUAUGUGGCAACACGUUGUUUUACAGUCACGCCACUUGGUUUACUAAUUAAACCUUAUAUUCAAUGAUUUAUUUAUUGUAUAGUUUGAUAUUGCUUCAAGAUUGGCAAAUGUUAGACCAUUUCAGAAACAAAUUUCCUGGUAGUUCACGAAGGAAGAUAAAAAGAACUGAGGAAACUACAAGGUAAUGAGUGUAAUGAAAAAAAUUGACAAGUGCAGUGCAGUGCAGGUAGAGAAGAACAAAAUGAUCAUUCUGACCAUUUCUGUGGUAGAAUUAAAUUAUAAAAGAGAAGGCCAUUUCAUCCACAUAAAACAGUAUCAUUCAAGAAUAUCAAAAUAUAUCAUACAAAAUUAUCAAUACACCAUUCACACAACAAAACCCUUUUCUUCUAGCAAGCACUCUUCUCUAUCAUCUUUUCAGUUUCAAGUUUCAACCCAGAAGUUAAAGCACUAGCUAGCAGCAGUAGCAGCAGGAGAGGAGAUGGCAGAAAGUGUGGUGAGCUUUUUGCUUGACAGGCUCAGCUCCGUAAUAGAAGAGGAGGUGAGACUACUGUCAGGGACCCGAGCAGAGAUGGAGGAUAUCGUCGAGGAGUUAGAGCGCAUCAAGGCCUUCUUAAGGGUUGCUGAUGCAAAGGAAGACAGUGACCCCCAGCUCAAAGUGUGGGUUAAACAAGUUAGAGAUGUGGCUUAUCAGAUUGAAGAUGCGCUUGAUAUAUUCAGGCUUUCUCAUUCAUGUUAUCAUAGGCCGGGAUGCCAUGCUUCCCUUCAUGAGCUUUCUUGCAUCAUUAACAAGUUGAAAGCUCGCCGGAGAAUUGCUACUGAUAUUCAAGGCAUAAAAUCAAAAGUCAGAAGCCUCUCCGAGGGACAUCAGAAUUACAAACUUGAUGUUGACCCUGGCUCAAGCAAGGUUCAGAAACAUCACUACAGUCAAGGGGAUGCUCUUUUGCUGGAAGAGGCUGAUCUUGUGGCAAUCGGCGAACCUAAAAGGCAGCUGAUUAAGUUGCUUAUGCAGGAGGGUGGCGACGCUAGACGCCAGGCAGUCGCGGUCGUUGGGAUGGGAGGGCUGGGGAAAACCACCUUGGCCAAGCAAGUCUAUAAGGAUGCAAGAGUUAAGAAAAAUUUCAAGGUACAUGCUUGGAUCACUGUUUCUCAAUCAUUCAAGAUAAAGAAGCUCCUAAGACACAUAGUUGAAAAAAUCUUCAAAGUUAUCAGGAAACCAGUCCCUGAAGAAGUUGAUAGGAUGGACACCAACCAGCUAAGAGAAAGAAUAAAAAAAUUGCUGCAGCACAGUAAGUACCUGAUUGUUCUAGAUGAUCUUUGGCACAUAGAUGUCUGGGAUGUCAUCAAUCAUGCAUUGCCUAACAACAAAGGUAGUCGAGUAAUGAUCACUACUCGUAAUGCCUCUGUAGCCUCUGCCUCUUGCAUGAAUAACCACAGUAUGGUCUACCAUAAAGAGCCCUUAUCUCCAGAAGAUUCUUGGACUCUUCUCUGUAGGAAGACAUUUCAGGAAGAGUCAUGUCCUCCAAAUUUGGAGGACAUCUGUCGAUGCAUCUUAAGCAAAUGUGGGGGACUGCCCCUUGCAAUUGUGGCAAUCGGUGCUGUUCUAGCUAUGAAAGACAAGAAAAACAUAGAAGAUUGGGCUGCCGUUUGUGGCAGUAUUGGUGCUGAAAUUGAGGAAAAUGACCAACUUGACAACAUGAAAAGGUUGUUGUAUCUCAGUUUCAGUGAUUUACCAUACCAUCUCAAAUCUUGUUUCUUGUAUCUGAGUAUCUUUCCUGAUCUUUAUAAAUUCGAGUAUAUGAGAUUAAUUCGAUUAUGGAUUGCUGAAGGAUUUGUUAUUGAAAAGGAAGGAAAGACACCAGAAGAAGUUGCAGAGAGUUACCUUAAGGAGCUACUGGACAGAAGUUUGAUCGAAGCAGCAGAAAUAGCUACCGAUGGGAGGGUCAAAUCAUGUAGGAUCCAUGAUCUUUUACGGGAGAUUGUCGUUUUGAAGUCUAGGGAGCAAAACUUUGCAGCAAUACAGAAAGCGCAAGGCACAAUGUGGCCCGAAAAAGUUCGACGACUAUCAAUUUUUAACACGUUGCAGAAUGUACAACAAAAGAGGACUCCUUCCAAACUUCGUUCGUUGCUCAUUUUUGGGGUAGAAGAUUCACUUACUGAGUUUUCAAUACCAAAAUUGUUUCCUAGAGGUCUUCCGCUGCUUACUGUAUUAGACUUGGAAGGUGCCCCUCUAGAGACAUUUCCAAAAGAGGUUGUCAACCUUCUUCUGCUCAGGUAUCUUAGUUUGAGGGGUACCAAGGUGAAACAAAUUCCAAGCUCCAUCAAGAAGCUUCAAAACCUAGAGACCUUCGAUCUUAAACACUCUCAUGUCGUUGAGUUGCCUGCUGAAAUUUUGAAUCUCAAGCGACUGCGCCAUCUCCUGGUAUAUCGCUAUGAAGUUGAAUCUUAUGCACGAUUUAAUUCCAGAUAUGGAGUGAAGGUUCCUGCAGGAAUAUGUGGCUUACAAUCGCUCCAAAAGCUGUGUUUUGUAGAGGCAAAUCAAGACAAUGGCGCUUUAGUGGCAGAGCUUGGGAGAAUGAAUCAACUGAGGAAGUUAGGCAUUUUCAAGUUGAGACAAGAAGAUGGGGUCACCUUAUGCUCAUCUAUCGAAAAGAUGCGCAACCUUCGGUCAUUGUCUGUAUCUUCAGUGGAGAAGGACAAGAUAAUUGAUCUGACACACAUUUCUUGUCCUCCUCAAUUUCUUCAGCGACUAUACUUGACGGGGCGUUUAGAAAACUUACCGCAUUGGAUUUCUUCGCUCCCGAACGUGGUGAGACUGUUUCUGAAAUGGAGUCGGCUAAAGGAGGAUCCUCUGGUGCAUCUUCAAGGUUUGCCAAAUCUAGUACAUCUUGAACUCCUUCAGGUUUAUGAGGGAGACUGUUUGCAUUUUAAGGCAGGAGGGUUUCCAAGCCUGAAGUUACUAGGUAUUGACAAACUAGAUGAACUGAAAUUGGUAAGCAUGGAUAAGGGAGCAAUGCCUUGCCUAGAAAAGUUAAUUAUCCAGCGGUGCAGAUUGUUGAAGAAGGUAUCAGGCAUUGAACAUUUACAAGACCUAAAGCUGCUUGAAUUUUUUGACAUGCCAAACGAAUUAAUAAAGCGAUUUCGUCCAGAUGGUGGGGAAGAUCAUUGGAAAGUUGCUCACAUUCCAGAGGUUUACUCUUCGUAUUGGAACGUUGGGGGUUGGGAUGUUUAUUCAUUAGAGAUCACUGAUGGGGAGAGUACUAGUCAGCAAGGUACUACUUCUGCCAUGAGGAGGCUGGAACCUAAUAUUCUAUGGAAGGCUUAGCUUUUGGUUCUGCCUUAUAAUUACAAACUGCAAAUAAUAGAAUCACUGGAAGCAUGUUUUAUCAGAAUGCUUCCUACUACUGCAUACAUAUGAAUCUUAUAACUUCAAUUCUUGUAUUCUUUUAUAUCUUUCUCUACCCAAAAAGAACAUACUUGCUAUUAAGGUUCAUUUUCCCCCCUCUGUACUUUUGUUGCAAGUAAGUAAUUCAUAUUAUUGAGAGCAAAUUUUCUUUUCUUCUUCAAUGUUUUUGGAUAACAUCCAUUGAAUGUUUUAGGGUUUAGGAAGUUCCUGAGAGAGCCUAAGGAGGUUACAGAGUGAUCCUAACUGCUGCUAGAGUUGGGUUGACAUUCCUCCACAACUAAAAUUUAACAAAUAAGCUUUGCAACUCUAAAACACACUUCUUUCAUUUGGGAAAAGAACUUAAUUUAUAUGUAACUAGGCAAGCAAUAGCAUAGCAAUUCGUUGUACAUGGGCUUCAGUGGCCUGUUGGAUUUGUGGAUGACACCCUAUUUCUUAACAAUUGAAUCAAAUUGGUUAGUCGUUGGAUCAAAUUGGUUAGUUUGAUCCAACAGUGAAGAAAUAGGGUCUCAUCUAAGGGCCUCCACACUACAGAAUGACCCUGAAGCAAGACUGGCAGAGAGAGAGGAGCAGUUCAUUCAUUAAUGCCUCUAAAAGGUUGAGGCCCAAUAGAGAAUGUAAUGUAGCCAUCACUUUAUCCAUCAACCCCUAAAGCCAAGUAAAAUUCUACAAUUCCUCCUUCCAUUGCUUACCAGCAAUUCUCACAAUGUUUGCAAUAUCUCCAUUUUAUAUGGCUAGUUGACUUUCCUCGCCACUUCAUACAAAUGAUCUUCCACGUUUCCUUGGAUUGGAAAUAGAGAUAGGAAGAAGGGUCUGACAAAUUUGCCCUUAAAAGAGUCACGUGCAUACCAUUCGAUUUCGUUUCAUAAAAAAAAUCAAUGAAAUGUGGAAAAAAUUGACGGUAGGGGCACAUUGGCUAAAAAAAAUAAUUCGUAUUCUUAAUUUACUAAAUAAAAAUUAAAACAUUCAGAGGGAAAUAGAAAAAAAUUGUGAAAAUUUAGGACUGCAUAUUUGUUUUUAUGGAUUUAAAAUGUGGGAGAAAGAAUUCUUUGGCCAAUAAUAUAAUGAAACAUAGAUUUAGUCAAAGUGAAUUGAAUAUAACAACAUUAUUUAGUAACAAGUCAAAUUGAAUAUAACAUUAUUUAGUAACACAAGUGCAUAGGAAUGGAAAAAUUUAAAAAGAAAUAAUUUGCCAAGUAACGUAUUCGGAGGUGUAUAAAUUUUCUACAAUGAUGCUUUGGAGGUGUAUAAAUUUUCGAUAAACAGAGUGGCUGAGUUCAUUAUCAAAGGCAAGAUUGUUAUAUUCCUAUUUAGAUCGGUGCAGUAAAUACAAAGUUAUAUUAGGUUUGAUAGGAGUUUAAAUUAGGUUAUAGCUUGGGGCCCAAGACUUUAUGAAAUAAGGUAAGUCUUGAAGCCAAUUAAAGGGGUCCUAUUUAUUUCCUUUUGCGAAAAUCGUUGCUUGAUGGGCUUAGAGUGUUAGUCAAGCCGGCCCUUGGUGAUGAGUAGUGACGACUUGACCUAGUCCUAUAAGGGGUCGUUUGGUAUGGAGGACUGUAAUGGACUGGACUAAAUAAUAGUACUGUCUUGGAUUGGCUUAAGUUGGAUAACACUUGUACUGCGUUUGGUAUAUGUUGGACUAGUACUAGAUUUUUUUAUUUUUUGAAUUUUUGAAUUUUUAAAAAUAUAUCAAAGUGGAUUUAAUAUUAUUUUUUUGACUUUCCUUCUCCCUCUCCGCAUCUCAACACUUUCUCCUUCCUCCCACUUGCUUCUUCUUCUCCGCCCUCCUCCUCCUCCUCCUAUUCUUCUUCUCCAUCCCAUCUCCUUCACCUCUUCUUCUAAUUAUAUUUUUCUCCUUGUUUUUUUUUCUGAAAUUUUUUUUCUUUGUUUUUUUGUUUUUUCGAAUUUUUUUUUCUCUGCUUCUUCUCAAUCUACUUUGUCUUCUACUUCUCCCUUUGCUUGCGCUGUCGUCGUCGUCUCACAGUCGCCAUCGUUGCACAGUCGUUGUCGUUCACAACCCAUAGUUCAAGCAGCGAAGUCAUUCUCUCAUCGGUGCUCGUCGAAACUGAUUGGAAUUGGCUGCGUGUGCCUUUGAUGGUCGGGGAUUGGAUCAGUUGCAGGCACUGGGAUGGUAGGUGGUUGUGGAUGUCGCUUGGGUGGUUGGAGGUUGUGGCUAGCGCUUGGGUGGUUGCAGGCGCUUUGGUUGUUGCAGGUGCUUGGGUCGGGACUGUCUAGUCCGCCCUUUCCAAGCGGGUCUCACUGAGACCACCUAAGGAGGUGUUUUUGGUGGGCCCAAUAUUAACAGUCCCACUUAAAAUUAGAACCAAGUGAAAACAAACAUGAGAUAAAAAUUUGUGUAGUCCAAUCCAAGCUUAGAAGGUGUAACAAACAAGCCCUAAAAGGUUAAGACCCUGCUCUCGUCAGACAUGUUCUCUAACCCUAAUCUCAUUAUAAAGAGAGAGUUGAAAUAGUUUCUGAGAGAGAGCAGAAGUCUUAAGGUGUCCGUGUCUUUUGCUUGUGCUGCUGCAAUUGGAUGAAUUUAGAGAUCGUGUAUUCAACGAAGAUGAUGCCAUGCAUGUCUUUUAUGUAUUUCAGGUUGUGUGAAAGAUCAUGAACACAUAUAGAGAAAAGCUAACAGUUGGUAUCAGAGCACAUUGUUACUCACACACACUGAGAUCGUUUUCAAGCAUGCCUAUUGCGAUUUCUUUAUUUGUUGAUGCCAUGAUUAUUUUGGUUAUGUUUAAAAGUUCGAUGACAGAUUAAACAUGUUUCUAAAUACUAUGAAUAUUAAAGAAUUUGGAAAAAGCAUGUUUUAAUUGUCUUCAAAACUUUAAACCCGUUUUUGACCUAUCAAAAGACCUUAAAACCCUAAAAAUGGCAUUAUAUCACAGCAUAGUUGUGAGUUCUGUUAGUUACACCCCUCCCCAUUUGAAAAGGUUUUUUGGGUUAAAAACAGACACGGAAAACCCCUAAAACACUAUUCACUGCAUAAAAUAGUAUUCAGGGCAGUUUUGGGGUUUUUUCUUUGAUUGUGUUUUGUUUGGUUAUUUUUGUGCCAGAUAGGAAUUUGCUUUUGUUAUGAGAAUCAACAAAUUUUUCAUAACAAAACCAAACAUAAAUACUCAAACCCUAAAGAAAUAACCAAAGUUGCAUCAUACCUGAAUUGCUUGAUAAGUUUCUUCAACAAAUAGAAUUUGUCUUGUAAUUUGUUUAAGAUGAUACAAGAUAACACGUAAUUUGUUGUAAGCUAUAAGUAAUCUCUUGCCACAAAGGUGUGAUACUUAAUUAAGGAAGCUUGCAUAUGUUAUUUGUUAGUUUUGUGGAUUAAUGUUAAACUGAAAAACUGUUUUCUCUUAACAAAUUGAGAAUUGGUUUCUUGGAAAGUACUUAUACUUUCUUUUGCAAAUCCUUACAACAUCGAAUCCUUCCUCAAUCAAUUUCUCACAACUUGAAACACUCACUAGAUAAAACUUCAAAAGAUGAAAGUUUGAUUUUUUAAAGUUAUUCUUGGAAUGAAUGAGAUCGAUUAUGAUCUCACUCAUGAUUGUAUUUAAUUCAAGCUAGCUAUUUCGUUUAUGUAUCUUAUAAUAUGACUCCAAAAGCUUAGAAAAAAGGAGAAGCAUUUGGCUUUUAAUAGGUGUCACUCGUGUCAACUUCAAUCAUGGGAAUCAAUGUUAUAGGAUCUGGUUCAGCGUUCUCAAUCACAUCCACAAUAUCCCCUUCUUCUUCAAAAGUAAAAGCUUCAUUCCUAGUAGCAUUCUCCUCAUACUCUAUGAACUUUGCACAACCAGUCUCAAUAAUUCAGGUACCAUAAUUUGAACAGCAAAAUCUAAAGCCUUUUGACCUUGUGGGAUAAUCUAUAAAAUGACAGCUAAUCAUUUUAGGAUCGAGCUUCUUCUCUUGAGGGUUAUAGAUUCUAGCUUCAGCCUUACAACCCUAUACAUGAAGAUGUCGUAGCCUAGGCUUUCUAGUAGUCUAAAUUUUGAAAGGUGUCUUAGGCACAGACUUGCUAGGCACUCUAUUAAGUAUGUAGUUUGAUAUUUUGAUCUCUUCUCCCCAUAGGAAACAUAACACAAGAACAAUCCCUGUGUUCUUGGCUCUUGUGUGUGGUUAGCUUGAGAGUGACUUGGGUGUAAUUGGGAUUUGGGCUGUGAGUUCAACUGUGUAAUUUGUAGGAAAGGUGAGAAGGUUAAUCUCCUUUAGUUGUAAUCUUUUUUGGGAUACUAGUGGAAUUUCUCGCUGUCUUCAAAUUGGAUGUAGGCUACACAGGCUAAACCAUUAUAAAUCCUUGGUGUCGUUUGGAUUUCUGUAUUUAAUAUUUUGCUCUUGUUAUUUCAAUGGUUUCAUGUCUACCAUCCAGUGCAAUCCACUUCUGCCGCGCACAACACACACAUUGACACAUCUCCACAAUUCAAAUAAUAGUAUAUUCCCUAAUUGGUUUUAAGCAUAUAAAAAACAAGGUAGAAUGAUAGAUAUCCAUGAGAUGAUGCAGAACUGCGCAUAUGCUUAACUGAAUCAUUUUAUACAGGUGAAUUAAGGGAAUGUAAAUAUUGUAUUAUCUCAAUCUUUGUUGCAUUUAAUUUUAUGCUGUCCCUGACAUAAAAAAAUAUUAUAACUUUAAAUUCUUCUCAAGUCUUGUUUUUUUUUUGUUUUUUUUAAUGUUUAAUUGUUUUUCUGAUGAUGGUGAAGGUUAUAAUUCUGGCCUUGUGGUUGCUAGUGGAGGACCAGACCUCACAAUCUGUUGGAAUUUUUAAAGGUUUUAAAAAAUUUACAGUUUCGAUUUGUUUAAUUAUUUUGGUUGUUUUAUUUUAUUUAUUAUAGAGGUUAUAAAUAUUUAAUUUUUUGGUAUUGUUUCUACUAUUAAAUGCCUUAAUUUUCUGAUUUAAUGUGGUGAAUGUUACAUGUUCUUGGAUGCCUAUAAAGGCCACUCCUCCUUCACAUUUGAUAUACGAUUAGAAUAUCACAUACCACAAUCACCACCACAUUCUGAUUAUCUACUCUUCUAUCUUUUAUACUUUCUCUACUUAUAUUAUUAUUUUUGGGCAAUGGUUAUGUGACUUGGAGACAUAUCCGUUUAUGAACGUGCUCAUAGCGGAUCUUGAACUUGUGUAUUAGGGGUUUUAUUUUGGAGUCUUGUAGACCGUCAGUACUUGCACGUAGGGAUGCUACAAAGAUUUUAGGACAACGUCUUUAACAUGCUUCACCAUACCAAGCUCACUUUCUUACUUAUAAUUUAUUUUGCUUUUACUUACCUAUCAAUUUAUUUUUCUUCACUUUCAUUGUAGCUUUCCAAUUUGUUUAUAUGUUAUUUAUAAUAUAAGGAUUUGGGUAUUCUGCUAAAUUGCCCCCUGACCUUGUACAUAAUUCUCAAUUUACCCCCUGACUUUUUUUUUAGCGAAUUAAAGGCUCGAAUUAAAUUUUAUUAUCAAUGUUCCCCCCACCGUCAAAAUUCGAACAUUUCAUCCAUUAGUCCGUCUAUUUGACCCACGUUGACGCUUGAUUGAGGGUUAUUUUCGUCAUUAGGCGCGGAUUGAAUUAGCAACCUCUCCUCUCUCAUACACUUCGCACUUCUCUUUCACAUUGGUAGGGUAGGGUUAGAAAGGGACCGGAAUUUGGGCGGGAAAAAGGACGAAAUCGAAGGUUGGAAUCGAACGAAAUUGAAGGUUGCUGAGAGAGAGAGAGAGAGAGAGAGAGAGAGAGAGAGAGAGAGAGAGAGAGAGAGAGAGAGAGAGAGAGAGAGAGAGAUAGAUAGAGAUGAGGACGAACGCACACAGAGGGAGUUCAGAGUUGGAAGAUGGCAAUCCAUGGAUGUUGCCAUCACGGGUCUGCUACUGUGGGAAGGUUGCAAAAAUUCAGACUUCGUGGACCUCUUCACAUCCAGGACGAAGAUUUUAUGUUUGUGCGCAGGUGAGUUGAAUUUUGAAGUUUGGGUUUCAAAUUUGCAGUUUUGAAUUUCCACCUUUUAAAACUGUGUGUUUGCAGAAACGUUGUCAAAUGUGGGAGUGGGGUGACCCUGUUAUGUGCAAUAGAUCUAAGCAAAUAAUUCCAAGGACUGUUGAGGAGAAUUAACAGUUUGGAAGCAGAAAAAAAGAAAGGGAAUUCGAAGCUGAAAAACCCAUGAUUUUGGGUGUCAUUGUGCAUGUUUGGGGUUAUUUUGUGCUUGAUUUUGAAUGAAGAUAAAGGCACAAAUGAGCAGCUGUAGAAAUAGAUGGGUAGUUGGCAUUUUGUAAGGGCUAGAAAAGGAUGAGUGCUUGGCAUUUUGUAAUGGUUAGAAAGAUGGGUAAUUGGCAAUUUGUAAUGGUGAGAAAGAGAUGGAUGAUUGACUUUUUGUAAGGGUAAGAAAUGGUGUGUAAUUGACAAUGUAAGAACUGUUUUGGUGAAUGAAAAUGCAAGCUGUCAUUUUGACCAUUGAAAUAGUAACUAUCACACCAAAUGAACUGCACUUCAAAGGCCAAAAUAUACAACAUUUGAAUUCACAUGUGAUUACAUAAAAGCUUGUCCAAAUUCAGUUUCAAAAAUACAUCUUCAUCCAUUCACUUCAUAUCAAAAUCAGUUCAACAAUAUACUAGCAAAUAGAUUACAAACCAAGAUGAUCUAGAACACCAAAAUAAACAUAACAACUCUUGAACCAUUCACUUCAAAUUGCUGACUAAACUCUCCAUGGCCUUAUUCGUUUUGCUGGAGAUUUUAACCUAGGCCUUUUUGGAGAAGUUACCAUAGGUUGAGGUUGUGAACUUGAACCUUGAUGAGCUUGUGAACUUUGGGCAGGUUGUGGAGGAGCUUGUGACCUUGGGGCAGGUUGUGAAGGACCUUGUGAAUGUGGGACAGAUUGUGAAGGAGCUUGUUUACUUAGGGCAGGUCCUGAAGGAGCUUGUGAACUUGGGGCAGGUCCUGAAGGAGCUUGUGAACUUUGGCCAGCUUGUGAAUCAGCAAAUAGAUUGGUCUUCCUUAUGACAUAGGGGGCCUGAGCUCCUAUUUUCACCUGUUCCAAGCAUAGAUCCCUUAAGCCUUCAAUAAUGCAAUGAUUGAUUCAAAGCACACCACAAUAAUCCAAGUACUUACAUUAAACUUUGGUCUGGCCUGAGUUUGUUGUUGUUCACUGACAACACCUCUGCCUCUCUUAACACCUCUGACAGUUGUUGUUCCACUUGCAGUUGUUCCACUUGCAUUGACACUUGUAGUAUCAACAUCUCCAUUACCAGUUGUAGCUCCUUUUCCCUUUGCACCUAUUCCCCUCACAGCUCCUCUUCCCCUUCUACCGCAUCUUGCUCUACCUCUAGGUUGCCCCUUCAUUGUCAAGAACAACAAAUCACAUGUUAAUAUAGUAAAAACAGUCCAAUCACAUAUUAACAUAGCCAUUUUCAACAAAAAGAAAUAUGUAAACAAACAAAUUAAGAACAAUUAUAACCUGUCCAAGUUGGGGACAGCCAGCAAAAUUGUGACCUUCUUGUCCACAGUUGCGGCAUGUCAUUACAAUGCCAUACCUUUUAAGUUUUGUUGCCCCUUUUGGUAUUUCAUCAGCUUCUCUAUUUCUGCUAAGUUUGGGCCUUCCUGGUUGGAUGUGAUAAACAGGUGGCUUGAUAGGUACAUGCCCUGUUUUUCUCCAAUAUGCUUGACUAGGCAUUGGAGAUAUAUAGCCCUCAUAAGCCCUAUCAUAUGCCGGCCUUUUGUAAAGUGCAUGCACAAAAUCCAGAGGGCUGUGCUCACUCUUUGCUAUUGAAGCCAAGGCAUGUGGACAAGGAAUUCCACUUAAGUCCCAUUUUCUGCAGGUACAUGUAUGCCUUUCUAAAUCCACAACAAACAUAGCUCCCAACAUGCUAUUAACUUGAUACUUCCCCCCACCAGCAUACGAAGCUAUGCAGUGGCCACUUUCAAUUGAAUUCUUCUCCACAAUACCAAAUAUUCUUGGACCAACCUCAUGGGGCCACACUGUCUCUCUAAGUCUAGCCAUUCUAAGCAUCAAGUAGGUUCUAAUUCUCUCCAAAAGAGUAACAAUGGGCUUAUCUCUUGGUUCUAGAAUUGCAGCAUUAAAACACUCACACAAGUUGUUUAGAAGUAUAUCACACUUUGGGACUGUACUAAAGUGUGAUCUACUCCAAUGAGCAGCUGGUCUCUCCUGAACCCACUUAUAAGCUGCCUGAGAUUGACUCAACAUCUGCUCCAUUUCAGCUUCAAAUACAGGUAUUGUUGUUGCUCUAGCUGCUGCCCACAACCUCUGCUUGAAAGCUGCACCAGUAUAGCCUGCAAGCUUGAAAUUAUUGUGCAAGUGCCUCACACAAUGCCUGUGCUCAGCAUUGGGCAUCAAAGCAUGAAGGGCAUUCCCCAAACCCUUUUGCUUAUCAGUAAUGAAAACCCAUCCAUUGCCAUUUUCAAUACCUACAUCUUGAAAGAAUAUGUCAAAGAACCAACCCCAAGUCUCUGUAUUUUCAACUUCAACAACCGCAAAAGCAAUUGGAUACAUCCCAUUAUUUCCAUCAAUCCCAACUGCACUUAGAAUCUGUCCUGGAUGAGAACCCUUAACAUGGCACCCAUCAAAACCCACCACUGGUCUACAUCCUUCCACAAAUCCCUUUUUAAGUGCUCCAAAACAUACAUAAAUCCUCUUGAAAAUAGGAUUCUCACCUUGCAAUUCAGUUUUCACAAUAACAGUACUUCCAGGGUUAUUGCUCUUUAACUCUUCACAAUAAUCCCACAACUUACCAUAUUGCUCUUCAAUACUACCUAGAAUUCUCUUUUUUGCAAAACUCUUGGCGUUAUAAACUUGAGCCUCAGUUACAUCUAUGGCAUAAUGUUUCCUUAAUAACUUCAUGAAAUCUGUCACUUUCAUAUUGGGAUUAUCUCUUAACUCCUCAUCAAACCUCUUAGACAGCCAUGAUGAAGUGGCAUACUUGGUUCUUUGCCUCCUUCCACAUGUAUGCCUUGGAACAUAUGUCUUAAUCCUUGUACUUGGACCUUUCCCCACAUGAGAAGCAUAUAGCAUCCAAGGACAUGGAACCUUUUGUUUUUUAUCUCCUUCACAUUUGAGCCUCACCCUAUUCGAAUCAUUCCUCACCCACUUCAAUGGCCUUGCACAUGAAACUGCAUAAUACCUUAUUGCUUCUUUACACUGCUCCAUGUUGGUAAAUUCCAUUCCCAAAUGAAAUGUUGGCUUCAGCAAAUCAGAUUCUCUUCUAAACUGCUUAAAUCUAGGAGCUUUUCUUCUGCGGCUACGGUUUUUCACACCUUCACCCUCAUCAGAUUCUUCAUCAAGACUUACAAGAUCGUCGGUAUUGUAGUCUUCACUGUCAACCUCACCAGGUUCUUCAUUGUAUUCAUCAUUUUCUUCAUCAACUACAUGUUUAUCAAACAAGUUAUCAUCCUCUUCCAAGACUGUCUUCAACCCUUCUUCAUCUGAAUGCUCGAACUCGGAGUCAAUCAACUCAAUGUCUGUCUCACUAUCAUCAUCUUCAGCCUCUUCUACACUAUCAUCAUCUUCACUAUCAUCUGCCUCAUUAUCUCCCUCCUUAUGUACCUCAUCAUAACCAUCAUCAUCUAAAUCAACAUCCACUUCUACAAACUGGUUCCCUAACUCACCAACAUCAGUUUCAGUUUCAACUUCUACUUCCAACCCCAAUUGUGGAGUAGAUGCAGAUGCAUGGCUCUCUGGGAAAUGCGGUUGAUUCUUAUAUGAGAGAUAUAAAGGUUGAACUCUAGAAGUAGGUGUAUAUACUCCACAAACUCAACUACAUGGGCAUCUACUUCAAUUGGAACAAACCCCCUUCUUUUGUUCCAGUAGUGGUACUGUAUUUUUUUAUGGUCAUAUCCUAGAGAGAUAGCAACAUCAAACAGGUCAAGCAUUGACAGGUGGUCAGCAUUACAGUNNNNNNNNNNNNNNNNNNNNNNNNNNNNNNNNNNNNNNNNNNNNNNNNNNNNNNNNNNNNNNNNNNNNNNNNNNNNNNNNNNNNNNNNNNNNNNNNNNNNNNNNNNNNNNNNNNNNNNNNNNNNNNNNNNNNNNNNNNNNNNNNNNNNNNNNNNNNNNNNNNNNNNNNNNNNNNNNNNNNNNNNNNNNNNNNNNNNNNNNNNNNNNNNNNNNNNNNNNNNNNNNNNNNNNNNNNNNNNNNNNNNNNNNNNNNNNNNNNNNNNNNNNNNNNNNNNNNNNNNNNNNNNNNNNNNNNNNNNNNNNNNNNNNNNNNNNNNNNNNNNNNNNNNNNNNNNNNNNNNNNNNNNNNNNNNNNNNNNNNNNNNNNNNNNNNNNNNNNNNNNNNNNNNNNNNNNNNNNNNNNNNNNNNNNNNNNNNNNNNNNNNNNNNNNNNNNNNNNNNNNNNNNNNNNCUUUCAGAUUCCCUUGAUUCCAACCUUCGAUUUUGUCCUUUUUCCCGCCCAAAUUCCGGUCCCUUUCUAACCCUACCCUACCAAUGUGAAAGAGAAGUGCGAAGUGUGUGAGAGAGGAGAGGUUGCUAAUUCAAUCCGCGCCUAAUGCCGAAAAUAACCCUCAAUCAAGCGUCAACGUGGGUCAAAUAGACGGACUAAUGGAUGAAAUGUUCGAAUUUUGACGGUGGGGGGAAUAUUGAUAAUAAAAUUUAAUUUGAGCCUUUAAUUCGCUAAAAAAAAGGUCAGGGGGUAAAUUGAGCAUUAUGUACAAGUUCAGGGGGCAAUUCAGCAGAAUACCCUAAGGAUUUUUGUAUUUGACUUUACAAAAAAGAAAAACUAUAAUUUUUAUAACACAAUCUGGUCACUUUUGUGUUAUAUGAUUUUUCUCUACUGAAAAUACAUGUACAUAACAUGCAGACACAAGAGUAUGCGUGCGAGCACUCGAUACAGCAGAGACACAGAUGUCUUCUAUAGUAAAUUCCUUUCUCGAUAUGCUUUACUCCGUUCCGUUAAAAUGACUUUACUCUCUGUGUUGAGUAUCUUUGAGGUGUCAUUUUCCGUUUGUAAACUAAGCGCGAACAUAUAGUAGCUUGUGCAAAGGUGAUUGAGUGUAGCCAUUUUUUCCUGAGACAUUCAUGAACGGCUAGGAAAUCUCUGCAUAUCUAAUAUCUUUGACUGAGAUAGAAAAUAAAAUAUUCCAUAAGCCGCGUUGCCUGUGAAGAGGCGUCUAGUUUUGGAUGAGUUUGCAAGCUCAUCAAUAAAACAAUGAAGCAGGUUUUAGUCAAAUACUUUGAAUGGUAAUUUGUUUCUUUUGCUUGCUUAAUUCUAAGUAUUUGAGCGCAGCAAAAGUCAAAUUUCUAGAAACCUGAAUCCGACAAAGCAACUUGGAUAUAAUAUAGAUGGCAGAAAUUUUUGACUGAAUUUCAUGAACAAGAAUAUGCUUGACUGCUAUUUUAAUGUUAUGUUCAUAUACAUCAUCAGAGAGGGAAAUACCAUGUAAAUACCACAAUUGUUGGGUGAUCAUGACCUAUUAAGUGAUGCAAUUAAUUGGUACAUUUGACUCUUGAAGUAUUUGUAUUGAGUGUGUGAACGUAGCGUUGCGUACGCAAAUUCACUAUUGACAAAUUGCAUGUAAGUGAACAUCAGAAGAAUAUACAUGCCAUGAACCAGAUUCUGAGGUUGUCAUGAUAGUUACGCUUGGAUUUAUGUAUUGUCUUGUUUUUUUUUUUUUUUUUUAAUUUUGUUUUUUUGCCUAAGUUAGGAAGCGUAGGGAGAAAACUCACACACACGGGUAUCAUAGGGACUUGAACCCAGGUCCACUUGGGAGCAUACCAAUAGCCUGGGCCAAUCCAACUAACACCCUAUUGGUUAUGUAUUGUCUUGCUUUGUUUAGUAAUACCAUAUCAAUCUUAUAUUUCUUUUCCACAUUAAUACACGUCACAUGGUAAUUGAUAUAUUAAUUAACAGUUGAUCAUAAUAAACUUGCCACUGAUUGUUAUGAACUUCUGAUAUUAACUUGUUUUGUGCAUUCACACUGAGCUUGCUCAUUCAUUUGUCUGUUUUGAAAUUUUGACACCAAACUUCCAUACACUUGCCACUGAUGGUUCUGAACUUCUGAUAUUGUUUUUUUUAUUUCUUUUGUCGUAUAGCCUGGAUUUAUUGUCUUCUCAGUUGCUUUCUCAGUUGUUCACGUGUAACUAGAUGUUUGCUCCCAAAAUUUCUUGGUGACCAAGUCACAGACAAACUCUGCAUUACCAUAAUUUUUAAAGUCAUUUUUAACCAUCAUCAUAACUUGUUAAUGAAGCAUUUGCAAAACCAGUUGUAAUUUCUUCUUGAAAAAUAAUAGUUGCUUAUACGAGGAGGCAAGUGACUUCAUUUCUAUAUAAACAAGACAAUCAAACUACCAAAAGUCCUUUUGGACUGCAAAGGAAUGGAAGAAGUAUGGUGACUCCACAGAGUGAGUUAGUGAGAGAAUGGCAGAAAGUGCAGUCACUUUUCUACUCAACAAGAUUUCACCUUUUUUUGAAAAUAGGGUUCAACUGUUGAGAGGGGUUAGAGAAGAACUUGUGUACCUAAAAGGGGAACUGGAGCGCAUGAAAGCCUUUCUGAGGGAUGCAGAUGUAAUGGAAGAAAGUGAUGAUGAACUCAAAGUAUGGGUUAAGCAAGUACGAGAUGUUGCUCAUGAUGCAGAAGAUCUUCUAGAUGAAUUUGCAGUUCUCCAAGCUCAUAACAAUCAUGGCUACGAACUCUAUUUUCCUUUCAAUAGGCUUUCUUCCACUGUCAAGAACUUGAAAGCUCAGUACCGGGUUGCCUGGCAGUUACGGAGCAUCAACACCCAAAUUCAACAUAUUUUUGCAGCUUAUAAAAGACUUCUUCCUAAGCUUAAUGCUGCAAAAGGUUCAAUGUUUACCAAUUCAGGUAUUAUUUGACAACCAGUAGGUUUAUUUGCUUAAAAAGUGAGCUCAACCUUAAAAUAUUAUCAUUCUAGGCAGCUAAUAGUGAUCUUCGAUGUUUUGUUUCUUUUGGCCUUUCUACAUACAUUAGUUGAUUUACAAUUCAUCUAGGCUAUAGAUGGAAUUCGUCUGUUCAGUAUGAUGGACUCAAUAGUUGUUCAGUAGCACUUCUAGAAGGUUGCAUGAAGAGGAGUAGGUUUCAUCCUGCUUUGUAGUUGCUAUCUUGGCUUUUUAAGUUUAACAACCGGUAUUGUCUGACUUAAGACAGAAAAUGAUGUGAUUACUUAUACUCUUGCACUAGUUGGGGCAUUACCGUGUUCUUUUCUUCCUUCAUGUUUUAAUUUGCAACAGGUGAUACAUGGCAUGAUCGGCGAGGGGAUGCUCUUCUUUUAGACAACACAGAUGUUGUGGGGAUAGACAAGCCUAAACAGAAACUGGUCAGCUGGCUGGUCAAGGGUGGCUCUGGACGUGAAGUAGUUUCAGUCACUGGAAUGGGAGGCAUAGGGAAGACCACCUUGGUGAAGAAAGUUUAUGAUGACGUAAAAGUGAAGAAACAUUUCAAGCCUCAUGCUUGGAUCACGGUUUCUCAAUCUUUUCAGGCAGAAGAUCUUCUUAAAGACAUCAUUCAUAAACUCUUUUAUGCAAUCAGGAGGCCAGUUCCCGAAGGUGUGGAUGACAAGAAUAGCAAUGAAUUGAAAGCAAUAAUUAAGAACUUUCUGCAGAAAAGGAAGUAUCUGAUUGUUCUUGAUGACGUAUGGCACACUAACGAAUGGGAAACAGUCAAAUAUGUUUUGCCUACUGGGAACUUUGGCAGCAGAGUCAUGGUCACUACACGUAAAGCUGAUGUAGCAUUCACUUCUUGUUCAGAAUCCAAAUGCAAGGUCUAUCACUUGAAGCCCUUGCCUGCAGAUAAGUCCUGGAAUCUGUUCACUAGGAAGGCCUUUCAAGGGAAGCCAUGUCCUCCUUAUUUGUAUGAAAAAUGUAAAUGUAUCCUUAAAAAGUGUGAGGGUUUGCCCCUUGCAAUUGUUGCAAUAAGUGGUGUUCUGGCUACAAAAGACACGCGCAGGAUAGAUGAGUGGGAUUUCAUUUGUCAUAGUCUUGGAGCUGAAAUUCAUGGCAAUGACAAACUUGAAGAUUUAAAGAAAGUACUCUCUCUCAGCUUUAACGAUUUGCCCUAUUAUCUCAAGGCUUGUUUCUUGUACUUGAGUAUCUUUCCCGAGGGCUAUCUGAUUCAGCGCAUGAGACUGAUUCGUUUAUGGAUAGCUGAAGGAUUUGUUGAGGCUAUACAAGGAAAAACAUUGGAGGAAGUAGCUGAGGACUACCUAAAGGAGCUCUUGAACAGAAAUUUGAUCCUCGUGGGAAACACAACAAGUGAUGGAAGGGUCAAAACUUAUCGCAUCCAUGAUCUUUUGCGGGAGAUCAUUAUUUCAAAGUCAAGGGAUCAAAAUUUUGCAGCCAUAGUUAAGGAACAGAGUGCAAUCUGGCCUGAUAGAGUUCGGCGCCUAUCCAUACAUAAUUCAUUGCAAACCGUACAAGCAAAAAGGUCAGUUCCUCAACUUCGUUCCCUGUUUUUGUUUGGGGUGGUUGCAAGGCCAUCAAUACAAAAAUAUUUUCCCAGUGGCUUAAGGCUGCUUAAGGUGUUGGAUUUGGAAGCUGCACCUUUAAAGAUGUUUCCAAGAGAAAUCCUGGACCUUUUUUAUUUAAGUUAUCUAAGCUUGAGGAAAACCCAGGUGAAAUUCAUUCCCAGAGGCAUAGGGAAUCUUCAGAACCUGUUGACAUUGGACCUUAAAAAGACCAAUGUCACUGAAUUGCCUCUUGAGAUACUGAAACUUGAAAAACUUUGCCAUCUCCUGGUUUAUCGUCUUAAGAUUGAAUCUUAUGCACAUUUUUAUUCCAAGUCUGGCUUUAAGGCCCUUUCAAGUCUAGGAGAUUUGCAGUCCCUGCAAAAGCUCUGCUUCAUUGAGGCAAAUGAUCAUGGUUGUGGCAUGACAAUGAGGGAGUUAGGUAAGCUGAAGAACCUCAGGAGGCUUGGCAUUAUGAAAUUGAGAAAACAAGAUGGAUUAGCUUUGUGCUUGUCGCUGGAACAUUUGACCAAGCUGCGUGCAUUUUCUGUAAAAUCAACGCGAGAGAAUGAGAUUCUUGAUCUGCAACACCUUUCUUCCCCUCCUCAGUUCCUGGAACGAUUAUACUUGACAGGACGUUUGGAAGAGCUGCCAAAUUGGAUUCCUUCACUUAAUAGUUUGGUCAAACUGUUUUUGAAAUGGAGUUGGUUAAAAGAUGAUCCGCUUGUUUGUCUUCAAGGUUUGCCUAAUCUUGUUCAUCUUGAAUUGCUUCAUGCUUGUGAUAGUGACAUGCUGUCUUUCAAGAGUGGAGGAUUUAAAAAGCUCAAGGUUUUGGGUCUUGACAAAUUUGACAACCUCAGAUGCGUGAAGGUGGAGGAGGGAGCAAUGCCAUGCCUCGAAAAACUAACGAUCCAACGAUGUAAGUCGAUGAAGAGGGUGCCAUCAGGAGUUAAACACCUUUCCAAACUGAAGUUGCUCGAGUUCUUUGAAAUGCCAAGUGAAUUAAUCUUGAAACUGCGGCCAAAUGGAGGCGAAGAUUACGGGGAAGUUAAACAUGUCCCGGAUGUUUAUUCAGCCUGUUGGAGGGAUGGGGGUUGGGAUGUGUAUUCAAUAGAGAGUUUCAAGGAGAUAAAAAAUGCUACCUUACAAGCAGGUACUGUCAGGAGAUGCCAUGAACUUCGUCCGCUAUGGAAGGUUUAGAUCUGAUCAUACUUGUAAGUCGGUCAGUCAAUCAACUUCUACAGAUUGUCCACCAUUGUACAGAUGAAUGUAAAUACUAAAUACUCAUAACAUGUAACUUACCAAAGAAUAAGGUGCAGUAUUUGGUCACCAGUGUAUUCUAUAUUUGCAUAUACUAAAUAUUUGUACAUGAUCCACAAGAGUCUGAGGACAUGACUGUGAACUAGUCAAGAAUAGUUUGCUCUGUCUCUGUCUCCUUUUUUAAUCUUUAUUCUUUAGGGUAAUUGAAUUAAUAUUCUAAGAGCAUGGAAGAGGGGACAAAAACCGUUGCAGAUAAUUAGGAGGAAACUCACACAGUAAAAUAAAAAACCGAAAAAAUAGCAGAGCCAGGGAAAGGUAGCAGAGGAAGCCAGACAUAAUCCUUUCACAACUUUGAUCAGCUGACUUUCAUUGUCUUUGCAGCCAAUGCAGUUUACCAAUUUAUGCUCUAGAUUGUUCUGCAGAAAUCAAUAUUUUUUGCCUUAAAGAUCUUAAUUCUUCCCAUUCAUCUGUAUUUAAUCUUCAUACUACCAACGUAGUUCAAAGUGAUAUUCAAUGACACUAGAAAAUUCACACGACCAGAUAUUGCAGGGAAAAAUAUCAUUAUACACUCUGAGCAGUACAGAUUUACAGCAUAGUUCUAUACAUGAAUUAUAGGCAUCAAAAUAAUAACUGGAAAAUGUACAAAUUGCAAUUACUAUGAUACCCCUAGCAUUACAGAAUACAUGAACCAAGUGUGAGUAUUUUACUAUUUACAAUUAACUACAAGAGCAUUUACAGCUAUUUACAAUAUACCGCACCAGACAUGAAACUCAAGUCCAUUAAGACUACUACUUCCAACGAGUUUCAAGUUCAUGGUUCUUCAUGACAGAACUGGUUUGAAGGAAGUUUUCUCCCUCAUUCAAACCCUCUAAAGGGUACACCUCCCACCCACACUCUCUCCAGUAGGUGAAAUAAACUUCUGGAAUAUGUGCAACUUUCCAAUAGUCAUUGCCUUCUUCUUGUGGACGUAGCGUCUUGAUUAAUUUUUCUGGCAUCUCAAAAAAUUCAAGCACCUUCAGUUUGUUCAGGUGUUCAAUUCCUGAGGGCACCUUCUCCAAUGAUUUGCAACGCUGGAUACUUAGCUUCUCAACACAAGGCAUUGCUCCCAUCUCCACCUGUAUGCAUCUAAGUGCAUCAAAUUCAUUGAUGCCUAAAUGUUUGAGCUUCUUAAACCCUCCAGCUCCAAAACACAAUGUGUCUCCUUCAAACACCUGAGAUAACUCAAGAUGUACUAGAUUGGGCAAAUACUGAAGGAAUAAGAGUGGAUCAUCCUUUAACCUACUCCACUUCAAAUAUAACCUGACAAGGCUAUGCAGGGAAGGAAUCCAGUGAGGUAAUGCAUCCAAUCGUCCUUGCAAGUACAGCCUCUGAAGCAGGAGAGGGGGAGAAGAAAGGUGCUGCAAAUCAAUGAUUUCAUCCUCUUCUACUGAAGUUAUGGACAAUGCACAAAGUUUGCUGAGCUUUUCAAUGGAUGAGCAAAGAACCUUUCCAUCUUCUUUCCUCAUUUGUACAAUGCCUAACCUUCUCAACUGAACUAGUUUCCCCAGCUCUUUUAAUAUGGCACCGCCAUCUUGGUUUGCCUUGAUGAAACAAAGUUUUUGAAGGGAAGUUAAAGCCCCUAUUUUUGCAAGGACCUUAAAGCCAUAUUUUGAGUGAAAAUCUCCAUAAGGUACAAAUUCAUAACGAUAUACCAGCAGAUGACGUAGAUGUUUGAGCUUCAGGAUUUCAGCUGGGAGUUCAGUAACCAGAGAAUGCUUCAGAUCUAAAGUCUCCAGGUUCUGAAGCUUCCCUAUAAAACUUGGAAUGGUUUUCACCCUGGUAUCUUUCAAGCUCAGAUACUUCAAAAAGAAAAGGUUGACAACUUCUAUGGGAAAAACACUUAGAGGUGCACUUUGCAAAUCUAACACAUUAAGAAGCCUAAAACCUCCAGGAAAAAGUGUUUGUAGUAAUGGCUUCUCGGCAAGUCUGAACAUAAACAGAGAACGUAGUUGAGAAGCACACCUGUUUUUCUGUACGUAUGGCAGUGAGUUAUGCAUUGAAAGGCGUCGAAUUUUAUCUGGCCAUGGCAUGUUUUGGUCUUUAGCUAUUGUGGCAAAGUUCUGAUCUCUUAUCUUAGAGGUGAUAAUCUCUCGGAAAAGGUCGUGGACACGAAAGUUUUUCACCCUUCCAUCAGAUGUUGUCUCUGCUGCUUGAAUCAUGCUUCUAUUCAAUAGUUCAUUGAGGUAGUCCUCUGCAACAUCUUCCAGUGUUUUUCCUUCUUUUGCUUCGAUGAAGCCCUCCGCCAUCCAUAAUCGAACAAGUCUCAUAUGCUCAAUUAGAUGAUCCUCAGGAAAGAUACUCAGGUACAAAAAACAAGACUUUAGAUAGUAAGGCAAAUCAUUAAAACUGAGUGAAAGUACUUUUUUCAAGUCCUUAAGUUUGUCAUUCCCCUCAAUUUCAGCCCCUAGGCUAUGGCCAACCAUAUCCCACUCAUCAAUCCUGCGCUUGUCUUUAGUAGCCAAAACACCACUGACUGCUACAAUUGCAAGGGGCAGCCCCUCGCACUUUCUUAAAAUACAAUUACCAAUCUCCUCUAAAUAAGGAGGGCAUGAACUCCCCUGGAAUGUCUUCUUGCACAGAAGCUCCCAAGACUCCAACUGGGGUAAAGGCUCCAUAUUAUAAACUUUGCCUCCGGAUUCUACGCUGGUUGUAGAGGCUAUAUCGGCAUUUCGGGUAGUUAGUAUGAUUCGGCUGCCACAUAUAUUGUUAGGCAAAGCAUAUUUCACAGAAUCCCAUCCGUGCAAGUGCCAUACAUCAUCUAAAACAAUAAGAUACCUCCUUUUCUGUAGGAAAUCUUUGAUCAAUGUUUUCAACUGAUUGUUAUUCAUGUUGUUGGUUCCUUGUGGAAGUGGCCUUCGGAUGGCUUUGUGGAGUUGUUGAAGCAUGUCUUUGAGGAGUUCCCCUAAUUUGAAAGACUGAGUAACAGUGAUCCAAGCAUGUACUUUGAAAUGCUUCUUUACUUCUGCAGCAUCGUAGACUUGCUUGACUAAGGUAGUCUUCCCCAGCCCUCCCAUGCCGGCCACAGAAACUACUUCGCGACCAGAACCACCGGUGAGAAGCCACCCUACAAGCUGCUUUAUAGGUUCGUCAAUGCCCACUAUAUCAGUUUUCUCUAAAAGUAGAGCAUCCCCUCGGUGGUCCUCCCACAUGUGGCCUGCAGUUGAAGAGCCUGAACCUUGUUCAGCCAUAUUGAAUUUGUGGCGCAGUCUCUUAUGAACCUCUGAGAUUUUUCUGAUUCUUGAGUUGAUGCCUUGUAACUCAGAAGCAACUCGGUAUCGAGCUUUUGUGUUCUUAAUGCAGCAAGAAAACCUAUGAAUGGAACCAUAUAAUCCCUCCCCAUGAUCAUGUGCCUGAAGAAGUGUAAAUUCAUCAAGAACAUCUUCGCUGUCGUGAGCAAUGUCUCUAACUUGCUUUAUCCAUACUUUGACUUCCGCAUCAUUCUCUUCAAAUGCAUCAGCAAUCCUCAGGAAAGCAGUCAUGCGCUCCAGUUCCCCUCUCAGAUACAGAAUUUCUUCCCUAACCCCUUUCAAAAGUUGCAGAUCAUUUUCGAAAAGGGGCGCAACUUUUUCGAGCAGAAACUUCACCGCACUCUCUGCCAUUAAUUCUCUCUUUACUCUUUUGAUUACCCUUACUUCCUCAACUGAUUUUUCUCAGUUCAGAAUCUGUAGUUAUAUAAUUCAGGGGCAACUUAGAAUAUUAACAAAAAAUUGCAGAUGCCCUUUAGUGUAAGUAACCAAGUUAAAUAAGUAACAGCGACUGGAUUUUGAAUUGUUUCUGGUAAAGCAAUCAGAUUGCACUGAUUUAAAAUCCAUGGAGCUUUCCUAGAAAGUGGCUUAAACUUGAAAAAUGAAAUUUAUUUUGAGUUUUGUAAGCUUCAUGGUCUUUUCUUUUGUGAUCAGCUCAUCCACAAGAUCAUUUUGCCAGCAAGAUGCUUAACACAUAGUGUGCAAUUGCAAAUCAAGAAUAGCAUGACUAGAAUUUUUCAGACGGCACAACACGUAAACAAUGAAAAUAACUUAUUGGUUGAUCUUAUCUACACAGAAGAAUGUAAGAUGAAAGUGACUCUCUCCCAUCUGAUCUUCACCUAAUAGAUAAGUGAGACUGAGUUAAUAAACACCUAUUCUAAACAUUGUUUGAGGAAUUGGUUGGAAUUCACACACACACACACAUAUAUAUAAUCCAAAUCAUCUAUUUGCUAAGUCUAUAUUCAUAGAUCACCUUUGCACAAAAUUAGACAAAUUGGAAACCGUUUCGACAUCCAAUUGUGUCCUACAAAAUCAAUGAACAUAGUGCUUCAAGAAAGUACUAAAAUUUCAAUACAAUUUAGUGUACAAAUGACAUCGGAUUCAAGCAAUUUUUGUAGAGAUGAUCUUUGAAUGAUUAUCUAAAAAAUAGAUGGUUUUGAUUAGUGAAAUACAAUGCAGAAUUGGUCCUACAACGGUGUUCCUUUCUAUUGAGGGAUCCCUCAAAUAAUAUUAUUUGAGGGACACCCUUUAAGGUCCCCUAAAAAUAUUUAUUCAACGAUCCACACCAUUUAUUUUUUAAGCCUACAUUCAUAGAUCAUUCUUACAAAAAAUUAGACAAAUCGGAAACCGUUUUGAUUUGCAAUUGUUUCUUAUAAAAUCAAUGAACACGAUGUUUCAAGAAAUGACUAAAUUUUUAAUAAUUCAAUUGAGUGGUCAAAUGAUAUCGGAUUCAAGUGAUUUUUUUGUAGAGAUGAUCUUUGAAUGAGUAUCUACAAAAUAGACAGUUGGAUUAGUGAAAUACAAUAUGGAGUGGGCCCUACAGAGGUGUCCCUCAAAUAAACUAAUUUGAGGGAUCUCUCUCUCUCUCUCUCUCUCUCUCUCUCUCUCUCUCUCUCUCUCUCUCUCUAUAUAUAUAUAUAUAUAUAUAUAUAUAUAUAACAAAUUACAAUCACAUCAUUCACGUUUAGGAAAUUUCCUAGCAAUUUAAAUUUAUUGUAUUUUAUCCAUCUCCUUGUACACCAAUUUUCUGAUACUUUGAAUUCAAUUCUAUAAUUUUGCAUGCGUCCCUCUCGAGGAAACAAGUUGUUAUUAAAUGAAUGAAUGCAAAAGGGUAACCAGUCGCUGUUGUGGUUGCCUCUGCAGCCAAUCUCCCAGCAACCACAGGAUGAUUUCAUUUGACUGCGUAUACAUAUAGUUAUGGAAAUGAUUUUCAACAAUGAAUUGAUUAUAUUUGUUUCAUUAGAAUAUGUUUAUGAAAAGUCAGCUUCGUUAAAUAUUCAUUAAUGUUAUAAAAUGAACUGGGAUAUGUGCGAAUAUUGAGCUGCACGUAAAGUAGAUGAGACACAGUAUUUAACGAGGUUCGGCUAUGCCUACGUCCUCGGAGAGCAACAACAGUAACUUUUCACUAUAUGAAAUAAUAGGGCUACAACUUUAGUGUUUACAAUAUGUAUGGCUCACUCAAUUUUCUCUCUUGGAGAAUUUCUCUCUUGCUCUCUUUCCUCUCAACUCACUCACCCUCAUUCUUCCUUCUCUUCCUCUUCUCUAUGUGUAAACUUCUCUUGAUGGAAGUAUCUAUUUAUAGGCCUAAGACAUUGGUUGUUCACCUCACAAUAUAAGUGGUAGACAACAUCAUUAAUAUUCUUCAAUCAACAACAUCAUUAAUAUUCUUCAAUCAAUUGGGUAGUGGUUUGGUUUGGUGGGUGUGUGGUUAGGUUUAGUGGAUGUUAGUUGGCUAUGUGGGCUUCACCUAUUCUUCUUUACUUAUUCUUCUUUUACAACAAUUAAAGCUAUAAUGAAAAACAAUUUCAUUUUCCUUUUUUCUUUUUUUUUUUUGGUAUACAUCUAAUCAUGUAAGCUGAAACAAUUUCGUUUCUAUAAAAGAAACAAUUUUGUUUCUAUAAAAGAAACAAUUUUGUUUACACUUAACACUUUUUUUUUACGUUCACCUCCAAAGAUUGAAUAUAGAUUUUGCAAUAGACUAAUAAAAGCUUAACUCACUGAUCAGCCUUCUGCUUGCCGAUUAUUCAUGCGUACAUUUUUAGGGACAUUUUGAAAAAAGCUGAAGGAGAGAGAAAUAUUUUUAAAAGAAGCCAAAAUGGACAAAAAUGCCCUUAUUUAUUUUUGUAUUCCCUAAGAAAUCCUUUACAUUUGCAUGUCUUUUGUUUGAAAAUUGAGAGGUCUUUCUGUCUUUUUUUGGAAAAGUUUUGGCUUUUUUCAAAAGUGAAAAUUUUUUUGUGGCUAAAACUUAAAUUUAUUUCAUUGGUAUUUUGUUUCGCCAAGGGUGUUGAUACGGCUACCCACAGGUGCACUGACGAGCAGAAGAAGCUGGUCCACCGCUGGCCCAUACUUUUUUAUUAAUUUCGCUUCGCUGAUGCUCUGCCUAGAGCAAAACAAACAAGGGUGAAUAGAAAAUGUCAAAAACUAGUUCAUUAAACAAAAAAAAAAAAAAAAAAACACCAUCUUAAGAAGAGAAAACUCUAAGAAAAUAGUCUUAGCCGCCAACCCCUUGGCCUCCUUCCCUACCUCCUCCCCUCUCCUUUCAUCUUUUUUUUUUUCCUCAUUUCCUCCCUUUUCCCUCAAGAUUAUUAAUUUAUUUUGUGAUGUGGAAGUAGUAGCCAUCCUCCUUCAGUAUUUUUCCUGAAAUGCGUAGCAACGGUUUAGCACCGUCCUCUUUUACUUCACAAAUGAAAAUGGCUUCUGACGUAGAAGAAGGAGGUCACAGUGACCCAUCAAAUUUAUGGACUUUUUGGGCCCUCCAGCCUCCCUUCAACUUCAAACAGAGAAACUGUACGUGCCAAUAGUGUCUGUGGGCUUUUGGUGAGAACUGCAUGCCCAAAGUUUCUUGCAAGUUGUAUUUUGGCUGCGAUGCAUUCCUUGUUGGUCAAGAAAUGUUGGAUUAGGCCCUUAGGAUGGGCUCGACUCAAUACAAGCCUUUCUUCUUUUAGUGUGUUAGGCAUGCCACUACUAGUAUUUUACUCUCCUAGUAGGAAGAGAUGACAUGUGGUUUAUGAUGUGAUGAACGUGUUGCACUCGUUGAUCUCAACAUCUAAUUAAAGCCAUUGUACUUCAAGUGGGGAAUCUGUUGAAGUUGUUGGAAUCUCUAGCUGUUACUGAUAAGGUUUACUGCUAGGAUUCCUAGUUUUUAGGUUUGUUAAUCACGUAGGAGUCCAAUAAUCCCUAUACUUGAGGGACAAGCUUGUAUUUCUGUUUUGAUGUAGUCUUUACCACGAUUAUAGGACCUGUAAAAUCGUGGGCUGUUGCAUUUUCUUUCAGUUCAAGUGUAAGGCUAUUUAAUAGCCAUGUUAGAUGUUUUUCAUCGAAUAACAAGAAUUCUCCUUAGCUUAUGUAAGUUCUGAAUUACAGAAGCUCUUUGCAAACUUCCUGAUUCUAACAGAAUCUGGCUUGAAUAGGGUCUUUUCUAUGCCUCAAGUAAGAGGACUUCACUCUCUGAUGAGGCUUGGGGUUUUCCUUUUUUGGAGGAGAAGCCACUUUCUAAUGUGCAAAUUUUCAGAGGUGUGGUUCGGGAGUCUAGAUAAAGUGAUAUGAUAUUUUGGCACUUUAAUGAGUGUCGGAAGGAAGCUAGGUGUUUAGGCCAAGGAUGGACCCAACACAGGUUAACCUGGGCUAUAGCCUAUGUGGCUUUUGUUAUUUUACAGUCCAAAGUCACAUGUAGCCCACCUUACAGCCUACCUCACUUCAUGUAUCAGCCAUUCAACAUGUUCAAUUUUCUUGGUGGGUCUAGGGAUGGCAAAAAUCCCCAUGAGGGCGGGUUCCCAUAAGGUCCCUGAUCCUAAUGGGGGGAGAUUUCGGGGCCAAACUGCUAUCGAGUAUGGGGAUCCCCAACGGAUAUGGGGAGGGGAAGGUAUUGGAGUCCCCAUCCCUGAACCUGACCUGAAAAUAUAUAUGUUUAUAUUUAAAUAAAUAUAUAAUUAUAAUAUUUGUGUUUAACCUUAAGUUAACCUCCCUCUUCUAAUUCUUCCUAAUCUUGAUUGAUGUGAUUUUGAACAGUUGAGUUGAACUUUAUAGUUAAUUUGGAUGUGUAUCGAGUAUGGGGAUCCCCAACGGAUAUGGAGAGGGGAAGGUAUUGGAGUCCCCAUCCCCGAACCUGACCUGAAAAUAUAUAUGUUUAUAUUUAAAUAAAUAUAUAAUUAUAAUAUUUGUGUUUAACCUUAAGUUAACCUCCCUCUCCUAAUUCUUCAUAAUCUUGAUUGAUGUGAUUUUGAAUAGUUGAGUUGAACUUUAUAGUUAAUUUGGAUGUGUUGAAUGAUAAUUUAAUACAAAACUUAAUGUUAAAAUGUAUGAUAAAUUUUUUUUAUGCAAAAUUUUAAAAUAAAAUAAAAUAAAAUAGGGGAUUCGGGGCAGGUAUGAGGGAUAGUCCCUGACGGAGAUGAGGACGGGGAUUCCCCGAAACCUAUUAAAUGGUGAUGGGUUGGGGGGGGGGGACGGGGGUGGGGAUGGAGAGCAAGGACGGGGAUGGUAUUGUCAUACUUAGGGAUGGCAAAAAUUCCCGCAGGGGUGGGUCCCCGACCCUAACCGGGGGAGAUUUCAGGGCCAAAACUGGUAUCAAGUACAGGGAUCCCCGAACUUGAAAAAUCCCCGACAAGUAUGGGGAGGGGAUAGUAUUGGAGUCCCCAUCCCCGAACCCGACCCGAAAAUAUAUAUGUUUAUAUUUAAACAAAUAAAUAUAUAAUUAUAAUAUUUAUGUUUAACCCUAUGUUAAUCUUCCUCUUCUAAUUCUUCCUAAUCUUCUAUGGAAUUUCAUAUUGAUGUCAUUUUGAAUAGUUGAGUUGAUCUUUAUAGUUAAUUUGGAUGUGUUGAAUGAUAAUUUAAUAUGAAACUUAAUGUUAAAAUGUAUGAUAAAUAUUUUUUAUGCAAAAAAAAUCGGGGAUUCGGGGUGGGUAUGGGGGAUAGUCCCCCGACGGGAACGGGGACGGAGAUUCCCUGAAACCUAUUAAACCGGGAUGGGUUCGGGGACGGGGCCAGGGAUGAAGAGCGAGGACGGGGAUGGUAUUAUCAUACCCGGCCCCUACCCGACCCAUUGCCAUCCCUAGUCAUACUCGACCCCUACCCGAUUCGUUGCCAUCCCUAGGUAGGUCAUAUUUUUUUGGUGGAAUGUUAGCAAACAAAUUAUUUUAUUGGUGGAAUCUUACAAUUUUCUUUCCUCAUUGUUAUUGAAAUUUGGGGAUUUUUUAAGGUUCAUGAAGUAUAAAUUAGGGAUUUUCAAUUCAGUGUUAUGAAUUACCAAUUAGGAAUUUGCAAUUAGGUUUUGUACGUAAGGUAAAUUUAGCCCACUUUAUUUUAAAAUCCUGGGUCCAUCACCUGUGUAGGCCCUUUCUCUUGGUGGUUCUAUCUCCUUCUUGAGUCCUAGACAAAUUGGCGUCUUCUGGGUUCCAUUUCGGUUGCUAUGCAUGACAGGACCCGAUCCAAAUUCCGCUUUGGAAUCCGAGCCAGACCUUGUAAGUGUCCGACACCUGGCGAAUGUCGGGCACAAAUGACCUAUUUGCCCUUCUAUACAAAACACGAUAAAAUAACAAGGUUGACUUCUACCGAAAAAUCGGCAAAGUUUCCCUUGUAACUGGCACAAUACCAAAACAUUUUCACUUGCCAAAACAAGCAAAACAUCAGAGCGACUACUAAGAAUUUACAAAGGAGUGAAUCCUUUUACAAAACAAAAAUCCUACAUCAAAAGAAAGGCGCGGAAGAUGGGAAAUGGCGCGGUGGUGGAUUCCUGUGCACAUCUACUGCCUGGGGGCGCAAAACAUGAAAAAGGGUGAGUGGACCCAAAAAUAAAUUUUAGAAAAAUAGCAUAUGAACAUACUAACCCCACUGUAAAAACAGUCAUACAAACUAGCUUAUUUUCUUUAUUUCUGAAAUCAAUGCAUGUAUAUAAUUAUACAUUUGAAAACAGUUUAAAACUAUCACCUAGGUGUACCCUUAUUUUCGUCUAUUCCUCAUAUCCGUCAAUUCCUUGCAUUACCAUGGGUGACACAUACUCGCAGGUCUCAGUGACACGAGGUCAAUCUAAGCCGCAACUCGCAGGAUUCAGGGGACCGUAGUCCACCUUUGUCCGCAUUACUCGCUCCACACGAGUUCGAGUACCAAGGAACUCGUGGGGCAACUGUCAAGCAUGCUGACUAAAUCGAAGGCAACAUUUAAUAGCUAGGUACAAGGUGAUUUAAAAGAAAUAUAAAGUUUCUGAAGCAAAACUGUUGAAUAAUUAACUUUCGGUAACCUUUAAAAUUCUGCUGCCAUUUAUCUGAUAAUUAACGAGAAUAUCUUUUCCUAUAUGCUUUAAAGGAGAUUUCACUCGGCAGCAUGCAACAUAAGAUAUUUUACAAAAUAAAACAGCUAAUAACUGAAACGGAACUGCUUAAAUUCAUUUAUUAAAACAAAGAGUUCACUCACUGAUAGUCCGAGCUCGUUGGACCUCUUGAAGGUCCCUCCUGCGGGUCAACUGGUGCCCGGGUGCUUGAUUCAAUGACCAUAAUAUUCUAUUAAUACAAUAUAGUAUUAUAUUAAAAACCCUACACCCAGCUCCUAAAUGUAUGUGCAUCAAUUUAAAGUUAUCCCUAUGCCCAUAAAAGCUUUACUUCCACGUGAGAUAGUUUAGCGGUAUUUUUGGACUCAAAAAGCGCUAAAAUCCCAAAAAGUCAAUUCGAGACCCCAUGGGUCCAUGACCUCACAAUAUGAUCUGGAUGCCGCUAGAAGGUCCAAUAGAUCUAGGACACAUGUCCCGAGGGUAUUGAUGUCGAUCGGACGGUCGGAUUAAUCACGAUCGUGUAAUCGCAUAAUUUCUAAACCCUAACCCUAGGGUUCGCGAUUUCGAAGUAUCCAGGACUCCGAUUCACAAUCCGUCGAAUCCUACACGUUUCUGAAAUUAUCUAGAGUAACAUAUCUAAAAUUGAUUACGAUCCAACGGCUCAACAGUAUUGAACCCGAUAAUCGCACAAUAUGGAAAAUCCGUUCGAGGCUCAAACGGUAUCCAAAUUGAGAUCCGCGAAUUCCUAUGUGCUCGUGACAACCUAAGGAUCGCAUCAGGACACAGUGCCACUGCACCACCCUCGCCCACGGGCCACCGCACUCGCCGGCAGCGCUGGGUGUCCAAAGCGAUUACGCAUCGCCGGAAAAUCUCAAAACUACGGCUCCAAACUCCUACCCUAGGUAUAACACCAUAUUUGAAACCACUUUUGUUCUUGGACCUACCCCAAAAACUGACCGGAAGUGGCCGAACACGGAGGCUGUAAACCGGCCAACUUUCCAAUUCGAAAAUUCAUUAUCUACACUGAGAACCGAUUAAUUCCUACCCAACAGGCAGCUAGAACAACUCGAGAGGUUCAAAAUCGAUACCUGGCUCGUCCGAUUUGGUUGAGAAAUGACUGAGAACGACGGCCGUGAAAUUCAGAUCACACCGCUCGGUUUUCUGCAGUUUCCGGCGGCUGGAGUGGCUGACGGCGACGGAAACUGGGUGGGACGGGAAGAGGAGGCAAUGACGGUUCGAACAAGACAUGUCUCGUGGCCGGUGGUGGUCUGUGGCGGUGACGGUGACGGUGAUCGAACAAAACUGUCAGGGGGAAGAAAGUUCGCGACGGAGGGGGGGGGGGGGAGAGAGAGAGAGAGAGAGAGAGAGAGAGAGAUGAGGUUUUAUAUAAAAAAAAAAAGGGAGCUUUAGUAAUAUACCCAAAAUAGGGGCUGUAAUUAUAAAAAAACCCUACAUAGAAUGCACUUUAGAAACACACCCAAAAACCAUUUACUAUAUAUAAAAUUAGUAUUGAAGUUCGUAUAAAUUACAUCUCUGCCAUUGAUUAACUUAAAAUAAGCCCAACACAAAAUUCCCAAAAGAACCCAAAACAAGCUCAGCGAGCCCAUAUUAGAUUUUUUUUGAAAAAAACCCAAACUUAAUAUAAAAUAAAAUAAAAAAUCACGAAAACCAAGGGUCUGUCCCCACGACCUUUCAUUCUCCAUCAAACCUCCGCAAACCAUAUCAUAGAAGUACAUUGUUAAUACCAUGUCAUAAAAGUACAUUAUUAAUACCAUGUCAUAAAAGUGCAUUGUUAAUACCAUGCUAUAGAAGUAUAUUGUUAAUACAAUUUCAUAGAAAAACAUUCUUAAUACAAUUUCAUACAAAAACAUUGUAAAUACCAUUUCAUACAAAAAAUCCAAAAAACCCUAACAAGAGAUUCGAUAUCCUUUGCUGCCACCUCCAAUUGUCCAUAGUUUCACCAGAUACAAUCGCAAAGGCAAAAGAAAAUACCUUUACAAGGAAAAAACAAGUACACUGUUAAUACUAUGUCACAGAAGUACAUUGUUAAUACUAUGUCAUAGAACUAUUGUCCUAAUAAAAAUCACAUUUUGCAUAUCAUAAACUUCAAGUGCACAGCCAUAUAUAGAGCAAAAUAUAGAGCAUGCUUUGUUACUGAAAAUCUGUUAAUACUAUGUCAUAGAAGUACACUGUUAUUACUAUGUUAUUUAAAUCAACUCAGUUGCAGGGUAUGAACAGUAUAACAGCUGUUCAUACCACUUACUGGAAGUUAACAACUGCUCAUAUGACUUACAGAUAACAAAUUGUAUACUAAAACGACAUUGCCGAGUUCGGCGUAUUCCGCUCUUCAAAGAAGAGCUUCUUCAAUGGCGGCCGCAGAGAGGAAGAGGAAGCGGCAGCCCCUUUGGCUAUGGAAAAAUCAUCGUCGACGGCAUCUGCGAAGAAGAGAUCCAGGUUGAAAAUCAGGAACACAAGACAGAUCUGGCCAUUUUGGAAUAUAUCGUCGGUGGAAAUCGGCGAUCCGUCGGGGUUGGUGCAUGCGAAAGAGAAAUCAAGUAGAAAUUCAAGUAAAUUAAGCAAAAAUCAAAAUGAAAAUAACGAAUUGAAGCAGAUGGAACAAACCUGCAAAGGAAAUGGAGGCAUCGGCGGCGAGAACACGUGUGAGGCCACCUACGUAACGGAGAUUGUCGUCGGUCUUGUGUUGGUCCAUGGCUUUGAGACUAUUUGAUUUACUUUGAAGGCAUAGAGAGGGAAGAAGGGAGAGAACAAAGGAGAGAUGGUGGUUUGAAUCAGGAGAGGGGCUUAAGGCUUCAAACCUGAGGGAGGGCUUGAUGCUUCAAACCUGAGGGAGGCUUCAAACGAGAUCCAAAACUAACUUAAUGCUAAAAAGGGUAAUAAAGAUAUUUCAUCUUAUUAAUUAAAUUAAAAAAUAUACAAUUGUUGAUUUUUGGGUUUAUUUUGGGUGUGUUUCUAUGUUUUAAAUUGCGUAGGGUAUAUUUAUAGUUUCAUGUCUAGGAAUGGGUGUUUCACUAAUUUUGUAUAAAAAAAAUCUAAUUUUUCCUAAUUACCAUUUUGCCCCUCAUGAUAUUUUAAUCAUAUUUUCUUCGUUAAAACUCCAAUUCGAGUUCACUUCGUGUCUACGAACUCGUUUCGUCGUGCUCUACGCAACGGUGUAUGUGGAAUUGUCAAAUUCCUUUUUCGGUCAAAAAGUCAACUUUUCGUUAAUAAAUUAUUCCAAAGGCAAAAUUGUAUUUCCUCAUAAUAAAUUACUAAUUAAAUAUGAAUUUUAGGUUUGGGUCAUUACAAUGCAUGGUGGGAUUACUAUGUUUUCCUCAUGGUUUGGCUUCUUAUCUAAGAAGCAUGGAUACGCGGACUUAGGUCCGUAUCCCAUAUCAGAUACAUAGUCGGAUACGAUACGCAUUGGAUAUGUAUUGGAGUCAACGGAUAUGAUCUUUGACUGAUGGACACGCAUAUCUUACGUUAUGGACACAAGUAUCAGAGAUUUCGGAUACGUUUCUGGUCAAUCUUGAAGCCAGAAGCCAAAGAGAGAGAGAAGUAAAGAUUGGAGAAAGAGAUGAGAGGAGGAAGAAGAAGAAGAAGAAAAGAUAGGACGUAUGUUGGCUGCUGCGUGUGAGGAGGGAGGGAGGGAGAGAGAGAGAGAGAUGAAGAAGAGAAGAGAGAUGGUGGAAAAGAAAA
rnacentral:lncRNA from 1 species